UACCAGCACCCCGAGUGGUCGGGACGAUUAUUGGGCCUAAAGCAUCUGUAGCCGGUUUUACAAGUCCUCCGUUAAAUCCAGCUGCUUAACAGAUGGGCUGCGGAGGAUACUAUAAGACUAGGAGGCAUGAGAGGCAAGCGGUACUCAGUGGGUAGGGGUAAAAUCCGUUGAUCCAUUGAAGACCACCAGUGGCGAAGGCGGCUUGCCAGAAUGCGCUCGACGGUGAGGGAUGAAAGCUGGGGGAGCAAACCGG
rnacentral:rRNA from 1 species